ACCUGGCUGGCUCAGUUGGUAAAACAUGUGACUCUUGAUCUCAGGGUUGUGAGUUCAAGCCCCACGCUGGGCA
rfam:Felis catus isolate Cinnamon breed Abyssinian chromosome B3, whole genome shotgun sequence.